AUGGGAAACGGUUGCAAAGCAGCUUCGCCAAUGGAGUGGGAUGGAGACGACUGGGAAUCUUUGAAACAACCAAAGCCAUGUUCAUCAUCAUCAAGUAAGGUGUUUGACGAAGCUGCUUAUCUUGAUCAUCAUCACAAUAAGGAGACUGAUGUAUUAGGAAAGCUUAGAGCUUCUUGUGAUGUAUUAGGAAAGCUUAGAGCUUCUUGA